rnacentral:tRNA from 1 species
AUACACAUAGUUUAAAAUAAAACAUUAUAUUUUCAAUAUAAAAAAAAAUAAUAUUUUUGUGAAUA